GGGGAUGAAAGGAUUUCGACGGGGUCGGAAAACCUUGGUCAGCGAGUAGUGGAGUUGCACCACUGAAAAAGUAACAACUUAAAAUUAACUGACAAUAAAACAGUUUCUUUGAAGGCUGCGUAAGCACCCUUACGUUCUCACCGAUAGUGCCACGGAUUGGAUGAGGGCGUCGAUUAGUGGCGAACAUGAAUAAGAGAGUGCUUCGGCUCUUAUCAGGAAUUAGAGGCUACCGUAGCGCAUAGGCUGUUUGCCGCCGAUGCGUGAGGGGAAUCCCAAACGACAAACUACACUCGUAGAGCCCUUGGCAAUCCUGCUUCGGACGCGGUUUCGAUUACCGCCAUCUCCACCA
rnacentral:tmRNA from 1 species